CCUGGAUUGAUCAUAAGUUCAUCAAGAGUGAUGGUUUCCCAUUUUUUGGCUAUGAAGUUGAACUCAAAAGGAACAUUAAACUGAUCGCAGAACCUUUUCAGUCUUCGACCAGUCUCUUCAACGCGGUCUGAAGGACGAAAACCCGCUUGUGGCAGCUCGAUUCCAGUCACCCGAAGCAUUGGUGGUCCGCCCGGUCGUUUAGACAGAGCUCGUAACAAACAAGGCCAUUGAAAGCCGUAGAGAACUCCAAAAUCAACUAUGUGAAGCUUAGUUGCUUUCAUAGCAAGUUCGUAAAUCGAUUUGUUCGCAGCGAAGUAAUCAGUUACAUAGAUGGGACAAGUAUGAACAAACAGCUUGUACGCUUUCAAAAUGUCCACCAUCGAUGUCGUGCUUGAAGGAAACGGAUUAGAAACAGGCGGUGAGAUGUUUCCAGUGAUACGUGCCUCAAGCGCCUCUGCAAAGUAAAAAGCUAGUCUUUGUGUUCCAUCUCCAUUGCUAGAAGAGUGUGCUCUUAUCUCCUUGAGUUUAUCUGUAGCUCUUCUCUGGUCAAAGCUCGCUACAGCUUGAGCACAUUGCGUCAAGAGACUUCGUAGAUCAACGGUAUUAGUUUUGUGCGUCUUUGAUUUGUUCGAUGAACCUUUUGCUCUUCCUGCUCUGUUUGGAGUACUCUGUUUCGUUAUUACUGUUCUUUCUUCUUCUUCUUCUUGGUUCGUUUUGCAUACCAACAACACAUGUUCUAACUUCACUGCUAACUCUUCCAUCUCCGAGACAAAUAUCGCUGGUUGUUUGUUUCUCCGAUUGUUCUCAAGAUCAUCUUCUUCAUCAUUCCGAUGACGGUACUUUCUCUGUGAUUCUCCGCUCGAAACCAACGCUGAUGAAUCUGUUGUUGUGCUGGGAAAACAGAAAUCUUGGUCACCGGAGUUUUGAUCGGAGGAGGAGCUAGUGUUCUGAUCAGAUUCUGGAGAUUGCUGUUGAAUUAUCUCGUAGAAGGAUCUCUCAGCGGCUUGUAAAGCUAAAUCGUCACGAGAUAUACCUACGAAGUCUUCUUCGUCCAUCAACAUAUCAUUGAUGUACUUCAGAACAGGAGAGUUAUCCAAACACACCGUUGGAGGUGAAUCGUUUGGUGAAGACUGAUUCUGAGACUCGUGGAAAUCAGGGAAGAGAUUGUUCCCAGAUUCGAGAUUGUUUCUGGGUUUGCAGCAAGAUCCAGAUCCGUUCUCAAAUCUAAACCCAUCAACUGAAACUUGAAGCAGGGCGUCCAUGGUGAUGAUGAUGAUGAUGAAGAAACAGAGUUUGAAAGUUGAGAGCUUUUGUCAAAUUUUACCUAAAGAAGAAAAAAAAGUUAAGAGCUUUUUUUUUUGUUCAAUGAAGAGAAGAAAGCGGUGAGAAAGUUCAUGUGAACACAGUUGUGAGAGAAAGAGAGAGCUUUAAAUAUGAGAAAAAUUUAUGGUUCUUUUUCGUUUGCAGAGCAAAAGAAAAAAAUGGAACUUUCGAGGAAAACAGUAAGCAGCCACAAAAAGUGGAUCAAGUUAUUAAAACAUACAUAAUUUAAGAGGUUAGUUAAUUUGUGUCGGAUCUAUCUGCAAC